GUGCAGGUCAUCGUUCUAGACGUCCAUUAUCAUCGUACCUAAAAAUUAAAACCACUCUCAAGGCAUCGGUGCAUCUAGGAUGGACCUGGUUAUAUUCAUUAAUGAAAGAUGUUGCCUCACGUAUACAGUUAAUGCUUAAUUGCAUCGCGGCUUCCAGUUGAACCCUGUUGCUCCGUCAUUAACAUAUAAAAACCCUGCUGUAAAUUUAGCUCAUUUGCAUCUGGCUUGAUUAAUUCAGUACCACGGACCACUCUUAAGAGACUCCAGCUCUCUCGUAAACUCGUUUGCUCAUUAGUCUUUUAGGAAGCGGUGUAUUAGGAUAACAUCUGUACACCAGUUCUCUGAUGUGCUGAGGAACCUGAACCAGCAGGUACAGGUGCACUGCGCUUUAGUGCUCUGGAUUCUCGCAGUGUAUUUGAAUUUGUGUGAGAAAAUGGUCAGAAAUUGUGUUUAACACAUUCAAAAAGACUGGAAGUGUUGUGGACCAGCCGAGAACCUGGUGCUGGGGAACAGUCCAUAUGCGUGGCGAUUUUGGGACACCCUGUAUUGUUUUUUUGUUUUUAAUAAGAGAACCGUAGCUAGGUGCACUUCAUCACAUUUGAUCUAAGGUUAAGGGGAACACUAGAGAGCGCUUUUCUGACGUUUUUUUUUUCAACCAUGCACUUGGAGCACCAAGUCCUCCAGUAGCCCACACACACACACACACACACACACACACACAUAUUCACACACUUUUAUUUCAACAUGUCAUGCCCUGAAAUUUCACCAGUAAACUCAAGUACGCACGACAUACUGAAUAUAAUCGCUUGAAAUAUCGUAGUGAAACUCCAUGUGAAAAGUUAUGACUUGCUGGACGAAAAUCACGUGCAAAGUCAAAUAAAUAAAUAAAUAAAUAAAGCAAUAAAGCAUACGUGCAUAAGUGUGUGAACCAUAACAUGCAGUGCCUACAGUACGAGCACGUUUUAGUGAGUCACGUGAUUCCCCUAGAGGACGCACGCUAUUUCAUACGUCAUGGAUGUUCGUGUGUGAGACAGAAUGACGUCAGAGUUGUUUGUUGAACCUAUAGAUGGCGGAAGACUCCCUUCCGUGUCACGCGCUUUAUUCCAGUCUUGACUUAAUUUCGGUUUGAAGCAGAAAAAAAAAAAGCAAAACUGUAGCUGGGAAAAGUUGAACACACGCAUUGGCAUGCCUCGAAAUCGAAAUGUGCAUGAAGCUGCGCGCGCGGAUCAGCGUUCUGGGUUAAAAAGCGUGCUGUUCUCGUGCUGCAGAGGCGCGCGCGCUCCACUCCAUGGAUGAGUCCUCUGCCUGCGUCUCGCGCACCAAAUCUCCGUUUUCUCUCUCUCUGACCGCUCAGUUGUUUUUUUGUUUUUUUGUUUUUCUCCGCAACGCUUCAUGACAUGACAUGACAGACGCUCGAGCUGGAUUUGCUUUCUUUUCUUCUUCUUCUUCUCUUCUCUUCUUCUUCUUCUUUUUUUUUUUAUACUUCUUUCCGACGUCAUCUGCUCUUCUCACGCGACGAUCAGAGGCUGGAUAACGGGACGUCUCUUAGUCGCGCGCACGGUAAGCAGGACAAAGAGACUAGCUGUCUGAAGGAGAUGUCAGAGAUAGUCACUGGAACCUUCUUAGAGAAACGCGAUGACCACAGAUGACCCAGCGGACAUUGGGAUAAUCCUGGAAGGCGUGGAGGUGCUCAGCAAGUUACCUAGUGUACCCUUUGCAGUGGCAAUGCUUCUGGGUCUUAUAUAUGCACUCAACCUAAAUUAUCCACCAGAGCUUAGGUAUAUAUUUACACUCGGAAAAGUCAGUCAGAAAAUGAUGGGACUGGAUGGAAACAUGCACUAAAAUCCAAGCUGCUUUGUUAUGAAGUCAUCGAAUACAUGAUUUUAAAACAUUGAGGCUUGUUUUUUUUUUUUUUUUCCGGAAAGACUUUUUUUGUACUCAGAUUUGUUCAAGUGAUUCUUGUGGUGUUCUUGCUGUUUUUUUUGUUUGUUUUGUUUUGUGUUUUAAAUGUGUAUGUUAGGAACAACCACAAGAAGAAGCAUGUGAAAAUGUAAAGCCUUGUUCAGGGCAUGUUAUAAAAUGCAAGUUAACGUUUUGGAAAAUCUCUGAAGGCGAAAUACUCGAGCACAGUUUUGAAAUGUAAUGCAUUACAGUUUGUCUGUUUCGAAGGCCAGAUUUGAACGCUGUUGGAUUCUUUGUGACUGUUGAACGUUGUAAACCAGAUCUAGAAUGUAGUACCUUGUUCAGUAUGUUUUAAGAAAUACAAACUGAAGUUUUUGCAAGUCUCUGAA